CACCUUGCUAACUAUGCUCUUGAUUGUGGUAACAUUGAAUGUCUUUAAUUUUGGGAGCUUGAUGUCGUGAGCAGGAGGAUUGUAAAUGAUGAUAAGCUACAACGUCCAAAAUUGAGAAUAAGAAUUGCACGAAAGUAGAGAAGGAAAGCAAAGGUACUAAGGGCAUCUUGGAGAAAACAUAUUCUACUAACUGUUCAUUUUUGUUAGCAGUAGUUUGAAGCAGGAAACUGAUACACAAACCACAUAAGACACACAAUGGCAGUAUUCGACACUGGGUACACGAAACAAAAGAAGGCAAAUGGGGAUUAAAUUUGAAAGAGUCCGACCAGACAGCACGAGGGCCUUACAUAACCUGUUCAAUGGUGAGUUAAAGUGGAAAUAAUACUGAGGAGCAGACGCUGAGAGAUGGUAUUCCCAAG
rnacentral:lncRNA from 1 species